AAGUUUGUUCAAAAUCUGAUUACAUUAGCAAUUUCUCAAAUCCAUUGUACUGGCUUUGUAAUUUGAUGACCCACGGUGUCUAUUGACUCAGUCAGUGAAUUUCGUUGUUGUUUUUUUCUUAAAGGAAGAGAAAAAGACCUGACUCUGUUUGGAAAAUGCAAACAUGGAAGAACUCAGAAACAAUAGGUUUCUAGACUGGCUGGAAGAGGUGCCUUCCACCAUGAUUGUAAGUUUCCCGAGGCCGCCCUAGCCAUGUGGAACUGUGAGUCAAUUAAACCUCUUUUCUCUAUAAAUUACCUAGUCUUGGGUAUUUCUUCAUAGCAGCAUGAGAACAGACCAAUACUAUAGGAAAGGAGAAAUCUAGAUAUUUGAAUAUAGCUAAU
rnacentral:lncRNA from 1 species